rnacentral:rRNA from 1 species
AUUGAACGCUGGCGGCAGGCCCAACACAUGCAAGUCGAACGGUAACAGGAAGCAGCUUGCUGCUUUGCUGACGAGUGGCGGACGGGUGAGUAAUGUCUGGGAAACUGCCUGAUGGAGGGGGAUAACUACUGGAAACGGUAGCUAAUACCGCAUAACGUCGCAAGACCAAAGAGGGGGACCUUCGGGCCUCUUGCCAUCGGAUGUGCCCAGAUGGGAUUAGCUAGUAGGUGGGGUAACGGCUCACCUAGGCGACGAUCCCUAGCUGGUCUGAGAGGAUGACCAGCCACACUGGAACUGAGACACGGUCCAGACUCCUACGGGAGGCAGCAGUGGUGAAUAUUGCACAAUGGGCGAAAGCCUGAUGCAGCCAUGCCGCGUGUAUGAAGAAGGCCUUCGGGUUGUAAAGUACUUUCAGCGGGGAGGAAGGGAGUAAAGUUAAUACCUUUGCUCAUUGACGUUACCCGCAGAAGAAGCACCGGCUAACUCCGUG